rnacentral:ncRNA from 1 species
AAAUUGAUGUUGAAAAGAAGAGUAGUCGAGCUUGGAAGCAAAGAGAGUAUCUCGAUUUGGUGGAAGAGAACGUGAAGAGCUAGGCGAACAUGGUCUUGGAGUAGCGUGGCUGAAAUGUAAGCCACGACGGGAUGCGCCCGUUACAGCGAUAGAGUAUGUUGGUACUCGAUGAGGUCCUUCUUUGCGAAAAGAGGAUAAACUUUAGGUGGUAACACGAAUAAGCAUUCGUCCUAAUC